CCACUUACCCUGUCAUAAUGUCCUGUGCUAGAGCAACCUGUGGCCCCGAACCAUUGCCUGGCCUCUGCCUGUAGGCUACUGGCACUGAAGUGGGUCGCACAGUA